rnacentral:rRNA from 1 species
UACGUAGGUGACAAGCGUUGUCCGGAUUUACUGGGCGUAAAGAGCGCGCAGGCGGUCGAUCAAGUCGAGUGUGAAAGCCCCCGGCUCAACUGGGGAGGGUCAUUCGAUACUGAUCGACUCGAAGGCAGGAGAGGGUAGUGGAAUUCCCGGUGUAGUGGUGAAAUGCGUAGAUAUCGGAAGGAACACCAGUGGCGAAAGCGGCUUCCUGGUCCAGCACCGACGUCAGGCACGAAAGCGUGGGGGAGCAAACAGG